rnacentral:rRNA from 1 species
AACGAGCGCUGGCGGCAUGCCUAACACAUGCAAGUCGAACGAGACCUUCGGGUCUAGUGGCGCACGGGUGCGUAACGCGUGGGAACCUUCCCUUAGGUUUGGAAUAACUCCCCGACAGGGGUGCUAAUACCGGAUAAUGUCUUCGGACCAAAGAUUUAUCGCCUUUGGAUGGGCCCGCGUUGGAUUAGCUAGUUGGUAGGGUAAAAGCCUACCAAGGCGACGAUACAUAGCUGGUCUGAGAGGAUGAUCAGCGACACUGGGACUAAGACACGGCCCAGACUCCUACGGGAGGCAGCAGUGGGGAAUAUUGGACAAUGGGCGAAAGCAUGAUCCAGCAAGGCCGCGUGAGUGAUGAAGGCCGUAGGGUUGUAAAGCUCUUUUACCCGGGAUGAUAAUGACAGUACCGGGAGAAUAAGCUCCGGCUAACUCCGUG